rnacentral:rRNA from 1 species
UUUCUCGAAAGUAAAAGAUCUAAAUUGGUUUGUUAGUUUUUGUGUCAAAAAGAUUAAAUAAGCUUUUUUAGGUGUGAUAUGCUAAUCGUUUUUACUAAUAUCUAGUAACUUUAGAAAAAAAUUUAGUUUGGGUUAUGAAGGGUUUUUUUUCUUUUUUAUAAACUUAUAUCUCAGGGGAUGAGCUCUGGGGUAAAUUUAAAAGAAAAAAAGGUUUUAUAUUUUUGGUAGGCUUAGAAUUUGCCAUGAGAUAGUGUUAUAAAAUAAAACAAUAAGGUUAAGAUUUAAUUUUCUUUGAGAUUUAUAAAGUUAAUGUAGUAAUAAAAAAAUAGUUGAAAAUAUGAUAGUAUAAGUAGAAGAAAAUUUGAAUUCUUCAUGGAUUUUUAGAAACAAGAUUUUUAGCAAAAGAACUCGGCAAAUAAGAUUUCCGAAUGUUUAACAAAAACAUUUCCUCUCAAAAAAGGGAGGUAAGGCCUGCUCACUGAGUUUUGAAGAGCCGCAGUAUCCUGACUGUGCUAAGGUAGCAUAAUCAUUAGUCUUUUAAUUGGAGACUGGUAUGAAUGGCUAAACGAGAAAUCGACUUUUUUUGUUAUAAAAAUUGAAUUUAAUUUUUUAGUGAAAAAGCUAAAAUUUUUCAGAAAGACGAGAAGACCCUAUAGAGUUUUAUAUUUCUGUGAAUUUUUUUUUAAUGGAUUUUUUUGAAAAAAAUUUUUUGGAAAUAUUUUGUUGGGGCGACAUUUAGAUAAGUGAAACUCUUUAUUUUAAAAACUUUGUUGUAAGAAUAAAUUUGAUCCUUUAUAAGAGAUCAUAAGAAAAAAUUACCUUAGGGAUAACAGCGUAAUCUUUUUUGAGAGUUCUAAUCGACAAAAAGGUUUGCGACCU